rnacentral:rRNA from 1 species
UACAGAGGGUGCAAGCGUUAAUCGGAAUUACUGGGCGUAAAGCGCGCGUAGGUGGUUUGUUAAGUUGAAUGUGAAAUCCCCGGGCUCAACCCGGGAACUGCGUCCGAUACUGGCAGGCUUGAAUCCGGGAGAGGGAUGCGGAAUUCCAGGUGUAGCGGUGAAAUGCGUAGAUAUCUGGAGGAACACCGGUGGCGAAGGCGGCAUC